rnacentral:rRNA from 1 species
CAUGUCUUUUUGAUUAUAAUUUAAGGUCUGAUCUGCUCAAUGAUAAUUAAAUAGCCGCGAUAUCUUGAUCGUGCGAAGGUAGCAUAAUCAUUAGUUUAUUAAUUGUAAGCUGGAAUGAAGGAUUGGACGAGAGUAUAACUGUCUCUUUUGUAAAUGUAGAAAUUUCUUUCUAAGUAAGAAAGCUUAAAUUUUUUUAAAAGACGAGAAGACCCUAUAGAGUUUAAUAUAUUUAUAUUAAAGGGAUUUAUGUUUAAUAAAUUUUUAUAUUAGAUGUAUAUUUAGUUGGGGUGACGGAAGAAUUUAUUAAACUUCUUCUUUUUUGUUUAUAUUGGUUAAUAGAUUUUUGAUUUAUGGAUAAUACUUGUAAGAUUAAAUUACCUUAGGGAUAACAGCGUUAUUUUUUUUGAGAGUUCAUAUCGAAAGAAAAGAUUGCGACCUCGAUGUUGGAUUAAAGUUAAAUUUAGGUGUAGCAGCUUAAAUAUUUAGUCUGUUCGACUAUUUAAACUUUACAUGAUCUGAGU